UUGCAGAUCCAAAAUUAAACGCUAUCGUAAAUGUAAAAUAUCUCAAAUGUUAGUCAAAAAAUACUUUAAUCUUUGACCAGACUUUAUACACAAAAAAAUCAAUUAUCUCCUCUGUCACAUUACGAGAAAUCAGCCAAUGAACUCAAUGAACGAAGAAUCAAACGAGCAGCCUCUCUGUCUUUUAGCGAAUCCUACUCCUCCUUUCUAUGUCAUGCUCGCCGUCCCACCACACCAUGUUUUGAUCCUCUUUCUCUUUGUUGGGUUUCGAAUCUUAUCUCAUAUCGAUCUGUCGAAUAUGAUUCUCAGCAUAAAAGACUUCUCCUUUAUCCUUUCUUCGAUGAUUAACGUUGCGUUUGCUUUCAUUUUUUUUUCAUCAGGCGUUGAAAGUUGAAAGCUUGAAGAUGGUGUGGCUUCCAGCUGGUUUCAGAGUGACGAGAUUUUCUGUUCAAAUGAUUUUUAAUCAGGGUGGUUCAUAUCACCUCCUCUUGAUUAUUACUUCUUUUUGUAUAUCUUCCUUUAUUCUUCAUUGUUUAUGCUAGAUUGAUAGGACUUGGCUGCCUUGAUUUGAAUUCUUGCUUUGUAAGUUGAUUUGUAGACAUCGUAGCGGGAUGCCGCUGCCGACGUCGUCUUCACGGAAUCAGACACUUCCAAUAUAGUAGUUGGAAACACAAUGAUGAGAUAGUGAAGAACAGGAGAAUCACUCAAAAUUUUGAGUGAAAAUUGAAAUUUAAAAUUCCAUGAAAGAUUGAUAGAAGUGGCUGGUGAAAUUGACCCAAAAACUGGGUAUUGCAAGGUCUGCAUUGAUCUGUGAUGUAUGGAAUGGUGAUCAGUGGACCUUUCGUCGGUGUCGUGAUGUCCGGAUGCGAGAAAUUAUCCACAUGAUCGAGAAUCAUCGCUUGGCGGAGGACCGAACAGGAAAUGAUGUCUUAUGAAGGAAAAAUGAAGAGACCCUGGAUAGAUGUGUCACAGUUUACAUGAUAUGGAGGGAGAUGAAUGAUAGGAAGCACACUAAGAAACCUAGACAGGUUCAUCAACUGGCAAAGGUCAUCGACAAGACAGUAAGAAAUAGAAUCUUGUAUGUGCGAUAUUGGGAGAAGCCUCGUUUAAGGGGACUAAUGCAGCGUUGGUACCAAGCACACAGCUAGAUAGAUAGAUUAUUCUUUUAUUCAAAUCCUGUACAUAAACUCCUAUUCAUAUGAUGAUUAAUAAAUUUAAUAUUUCCUCAAAAAAAUCACAAUGAGGUUGUGACUUCUAUUUUAAUAGAAUAUAUGCAAUGAUAAAAAGUCUGAAAACAUGUAAAAAACUAUGGUGAAGUUCUAAUAGUAUUUUUUUUUGAGAACGAAAGGUUAUUCUAUUACUUAAGUUUAAGGUGGUCUUGGUAACCAAACCGGAAUAGAACAAUCAAUAAAAUAUAGCUCUUUAUGGAAAGAACUUGCCGUCCUAUCUAAAGAAACUGAAAUCUGAUUUUUCACUCGUGGAAUAUGAGUAAUCUUGAAAUAUGGAAAGCAUAUCUGCAGAGUCUCUAUCCUCUCUAAUUAUGUCGAAAAGUUUGGCCAAGCAUGGGGAUCCUUAAUCAUGGUGAUCAAAUCCUUGCAGUUCGUUCCGAAGCUCUGACAUGUCAAGUGCCGAAGCAUAUUCUCCAUCACCUUCUCAGUGCUUCCACUUUUGAAUGCAGGGAAGACUCUCGCCGAAUGUAAAUUUCGUGUCCCCAUAAGUUUAAUCUUCCUUAAGCUGUCCAUCCAAACCCAUCCGCACCCGUUGAACUGUGUUGUAGAUGUCCAUGACCCGUCUAUCAUGCAGAUAUUACCCAUGCUUAAUACUUGAGGUUCAUCAAUAUUAUGCUUAAGACUUGAGGUUCUUCAAUACUAUAAUGUUGUGGAGUUGAUGGCACCAUCCUUUUGCAUUGAACCAGGCUUGACAUUCACGCUCUGCAUAUCGAACUAGGUCCAAAAUAUCUCUGUCUAUUCCCUUAAAAAGUUUAUCAUUUAUGGCCUUCCAAAUGUACCAGAUUAUCCAGUGGCUAAGGGGCGAGCUGGUAUAGCUGGUAUUAUAGGGAUCCAAGGAUCCUCCCAUAUUUUGACCUCGUAUCCUGAGUGUAUCUUCUGUCUGAUUCCCAAUAACAAUAGCUUUCGUGCUGAUGAAAUACUGGUCCACACAUAUGAUGGAAUACUUACAAGAUUUCCUUUAAAGACAAACUCAUUAUGUAGUAUCUUCCUUUCAAUACUCUAGCCACCAACGAAUCAUGGUAUUGAAUUAGCCUUCAUACUUGUUUUGCUAGUAGGUUAAACACAUGGAUCAUAUGGAAACCUUUCCCGUCCUCCUCUCGUGGUAAUCAGACAUUUUCCCACUUUGUCCAAUGAAUUCCUCUCUUCGAGGGAUUGGAAUUCCACCAGAAUUGUGCAAUGACACUUGCAAGAUUUUCACAUAUCUCCAAUGGGAGAAAAAAACUAGACAUAACAUAUGUCGGGAGAGCAAGCAAGAUAGAUUUGAUCAAUACUUCCUUUCCUCCUUUCGAAAUUCAUCUAUCCGUCCAUCCUUUCCUCCUUGCAUUUUGAUCCGCUAAUAUCUUUUGAAAUUCCUAGAUACGUACAUGUGUAUAUAUAGAGAUUUUUGUUAAUAUUUACUCUGGUGCGAUGUAAUUUGGAUCGGAUAUUCACAAUUCGGAGCCAAAGUCAUUAAAUUUUUGGAUAAAGAGAAUAAUAGUGGUAUCAUUUUUACACUGAAUAGUUAUGCUAUUAAAACUAUGAGAAAUAUUAUAGACGAUUCUACAUCUGAUAAUUCUAUUCUACCUGCCGUAUGAGGAUUCACGACUAACUGCAUCAUCUGAGUCGUCCUAUGGAAUCCACGUUUGACGGUAUUCCUUGCGCCAUUCUGUAGAUCUCUUGUACGUCUUUUUCCCUUUUAAUUCGCAUAAUUCCGUCAUUUCUAGGAAUUGAAAUCCAGAUCUCAUAUAUAGAAGCGUUUAUGAACUCUUGGUCAAACCAAUAGAGUAAGGGCUUCCACGAUAAUAGUGGGAUCUAGGUUGUCAUUUUUAAUCGUUCCAUUUGGAAAAGUAGAAGAAAAAAGGACAUGCAUAUUCCUUUAAACAGAUGAGACUUUAUUUUGUGGCCAACGAAAAUCAUCUUAAUUAAAAAGGAGUUCUCAUCCAAUGAAUCCACGAAGAAAGAAGAAAUGUCAGGAUCAAUAUGUUAGAUACCGAUGUGUCCAAAUAAAGUGUGCAUUUACUCUAUGUUUGUUGUAUAAAGGUGUCGGCUGCUUCUGAGUUUAUUUAAAGGGCAGUUCUCAAAAGAGUAAUCAACAAGUAUUGUGUGAUGAUGUGAUGGCUUUUUCUGGUAGACAUUUCACCUAACAAUAGUCACGACUCGUUAAUUUUUGUGUAAAUGCAACUACCUCAUUUGCCUUUCUUUUUAUAUAAAUCCCAUAAAUAUUAAAGAAAUUUUCUAAAAUAUUUUUUAAAUUAGAUUUUAGAUUAAAAUUUUACCUUUAUUAAAUAAUGCAACUGGAAACAAGAAUAUCAUAAUCCUGAGAAAUUCCCUAGAAUAGUCUUUUUAGUUUAUUUUCACAAAAAUAGUUUUCAAUGAAAAAACUGACUAAGAAAAGUUUUAUUAAAGGUUAAAUAUACACUUAGUCCAUAUGG